GGUGGAGUGGUGAAGUAGUUAGCACGCCCGACCGGACCUUGGGAGGGCCAGGGUUCAAGUCCUGGCUCCGCCG
rnacentral:tRNA from 2 species